rnacentral:rRNA from 1 species
CAGUAACACGUGGAUAACCUGCCCUUGGNANNNGGAUAACCCCGGGAAACUGGGGAUAAUACCGGAUAACGCAUAUCUGCUGGAAUGCUUUAUGCGUAAAAUGGAUUUGUCUGCCCAAGGAUGGGUCUGCGGCCUAUCAGGUAGUAGUGGGUGUAAUGUACCUACUAGCCUACGACGGGUACGGGUUGUGAGAGCAAGAGCCCGGAGAUGGAUUCUGAGACAUGAAUCCAGGCCCUACGGGGCGCAGCAGGCGCGAAAACUUUACAAUGCGGGAAACCGUGAUAAGGGGACACCGAGUGCCAGCAUCAUAUGUUGGCUGUCCAGAUGUGUAAAAUACAUCUGUUAGCAAGGGCCGGGCGAGACCGGUGCCAGCCGCCGCGGUAACACCGGCGGCCCGAGUGGUGAUCGUGAUUAUUGGGUCUAAAGGGUCCGUAGCCGGUUUGGUCAGUCCUCCGGGAAAUCUGACGGCUCAACCGUUAGGCUUUCGGUGGAUACUGCCAGACUUGGAACCGGGAGAGGUAAGAGGUACUACAGGGGUAGGAGUGAAAUCUUGUAAUCCCUGUGAGACCACCUGUGGCGAAGGCGUCUUACCAGAACGGGUUCGACGGUGAGGGGCGAAAGCUGGGGGCACGAACCGGAUUAGAUACCCGGGUAGUCCCAGCCGUAAACGAUGCUCGCUAGGUGUCAGGCAUGGCGCGACCGUGUCUGGUGCCGCAGGGAAGCCGUGAAGCGAGCCACCUGGGAAGUACGGCCGCAAGGCUGAAACUUA